rnacentral:tRNA from 1 species
GGGCGUGUAGCUCAGUUGGUAGCAGCAAACGACCGAUAAUCGUUAGGUCGCCGGUUCGAACCCGGCCGCGCCCACCA